UACGUAGGGGGCAAGCGUUGUCCGGAUUUAUUGGGCGUAAAGAGCUCGUAGGCGGUGUGUCGCGUCGGCCGUGAAAACCUGCAGCUUAACUGUGGGCGUGCGGUCGAUACGGGCAUCACUGGAGUUCGGCAGGGGAGACUGGAAUUCCUGGUGUAGCGGUGAAAUGCGCAGAUAUCAGGAGGAACACCGGUGGCGAAGGCGGGUCUCUGGGCCGAUACUGACGCUGAGGAGCGAAAGCGUGGGGGAGCGAACAGGA
rnacentral:rRNA from 1 species